rnacentral:lncRNA from 1 species
GUGGAGACGGUCGGACGGCUGGUCGCCAUUGUACAUUUUUCCUAGAAUUUGGAAAUUCCUUAGCUAGUUUAUUUAUUUAGGUUAUCUCUCUUCUAAUUGUGCUGCUGAGUAUUGUUAAAUAUUAGUUGUAGCCAUUUCGAUUUCACAAAACAUUUAUCCCUCUCAAACAGUAUCGAUAUUUGUUCUUGUCCAGCCCAGAUUUUGAUUCAUUGCUCAAAGUGACUUCACAUAGAAAUUUUCCAAAAAUAUUUUUGUUCUGUUUUCAUUGUUAUUCAGAAUAGUCAAUCAACCAAAAAGUUAUUUGUGUUAAUCUGUUCUUUGAACAGUUCUAUUCUAUUCAGAUUCUUUGACUUCAGAAGUUGCAGACGGUGAGGUGUUGAGAUUUCUCAGAUCUGCCAGAUUGACCAGGACUUGUGUUUAUCACCAAAUUAUUUCAUGUUAUGGCGCGAAUGGGUCCGUUAGUGACGAAAUUUCUGCCAUUUCUUCUAAAGACACUGAGCGGAAAGCCAGGUGAAGUCUGCGCUUCUUUGUUGCAGUCUAAUGUGCACAUGGAUUGGUUGCAGUCAUCCAGUGAAAGGUGUGAU